GGGCCCGUGGCUCAAUGGUGAGAGCGUUAGACUUCUGAUCAACAGGUCGCGGGUUCG
rnacentral:tRNA from 1 species